rnacentral:rRNA from 1 species
UAAUACGGAGGGCGCAAGCGUUGUUCGGAAUCAUUGGGCGUAAAGCGAGUGUAGGUGGUUUGGUAAGUCGGAUGUGAAAUCCCAGGGCCCAACCCUGGAACUGCAUUCGAAACUGCUGAGCUAGAGUCCCGGAGAGGAUGGCGGAAUUCCCGGUGUAGAGGUGAAAUUCGUAGAUAUCGGGAGGAACACCAGUGGCGAAGGCGGCUAUCUGGACGGUGACUGACACUGAGACUCGAAAGCGUGGGUAGCGAACAGGACUAGAUACCCUGGUAGUCCACGCCGUAAACGUUGGGUGCUCGACGUCGCGGGUAUUGACCCCUGCGGUGUCCAAGCUAACGCGUGAAGCACCCCGCCUGGGGAGUACGGUCGCAAGACUA